UGGGGAAUAUUGGACAAUGGGGGCAACCCUGAUCCAGCAACGCCGCGUGAGUGAUGAAGGUCUUCGGAUUGUAAAGCUCUUUUGGCAGGGACGAUGAUGACGGUACCUGCAGAAUAAGCUCCGGCUAACUUCGUGCCAGCAGCCGCGGUAAUACGAAGGGAGCUAGCGUUGUUCGGAUUUACUGGGCGUAAAGGGCGCGUAGGCGGUGUAACAAGUUGGGAGUGAAAUCCCUGGGCUUAACCUAGGAAUUGCUUUCAAGACUGUUACGCUAGAGUGAGGAAGAGGUUGGUGGAAUUCCCAGUGUAGAGGUGAAAUUCGUAGAUAUUGGGAGGAACACCGGUGGCGAAGGCGGCCAACUGGUCCUUAACUGACGCUGAGGCGCGAAAGCGUGGGGAGCAAACAG
rnacentral:rRNA from 1 species